rnacentral:rRNA from 1 species
CACGUAGGGGGCGAGCGUUGUCCGGAUUUAUUGGGCGUAAAGAGCUCGUAGGCGGUUUCGUAAGUCGGAUGUGAAAACUCCAGGCUCAACUUGGAGACGCCAUUCGAUACUGGAUGGCUUGAAUCCGGGAGAGGGAUGCAGAAUUCCAGGUGUAGCGGUGAAAUGCGUAGAUAUCUGGAGGAAUACCGGUGGCGAAGGCGGCAUCCUGGACCGGCAUUGACGCUGAGGAGCGAAAGCUAGGGGAGCAAACGGG